rnacentral:rRNA from 1 species
GACGAACGCUGGCGGCGUGCUUAACACAUGCAAGUCGAACGGAAAGGCCCUGCUUGCAGGGUACUCGAGUGGCGAACGGGUGAGUAACACGUGGGUGAUCUGCCCUGCACUUCGGGAUAAGCCUGGGAAACUGGGUCUAAUACCGGAUAGGAGCCAUUUUUAGUGUGAUGGUUGGAAAGUUUUUUCGGUGUAGGAUGAGCUCGCGGCCUAUCAGCUUGUUGGUGGGGUAAUGGCCUACCAAGGCGGCGACGGGUAGCCGGCCUGAGAGGGUGGACGGCCACAUUGGGACUGAGAUACGGCCCAGACUGCUACGGGAGGCAGCAGUGGGGAAUAUUGCACAAUGGGCGCAAGCCUGAUGCAGCGACGCCGCGUGGGGGAUGACGGCCUUCGGGUUGUAAACUCCUUUCGCUAGGGACGAAGCUUUUUGUGACGGUACCUAGAGAAGAAGCACCGGCUAACUACGUG